CUUGAAAUCUAAAGUAAGCGAAUUGAAGCAACUGAGGCAACGAGUUACUCGCCGACGCUGUAAUUCGCAACAACAAAUCAGUAGUCUAAUUCGCAGUCGUUAUUGUAACACCUGCAAUGUCACCAGCUGCAUCUUCGGCUGCAAAUGAACACGAUACGCAGACAAUAAAAAGAUGUAUGCCCCUAGUUCAGAAUCCACUUCAGCUGCUCGAAUGAAAUAUGUGCUCGAGAACAAAAACAAAAAUAGCGAACAAGAGGAACGACAUCCUAUCGACGCAUUUUAAAGUGACUCACGCCUACAUUAAAAUCAUGUUCACCAUAUUAUCAAUAUUUGGCAAAAGGGCAAUUUUUAAACUCAUACCACUUCCAAUUCUAAUUAAUCUAUGCUUUUCUGUUAAAUAGUUAACAACAGUACAAAGUAUUCACAGGUACCCUCUUCAAAACAAAAAAAUAUUUUCUGUAUGUUUUGCGAUUAUUGCUUUGUUUCGCAGCACAUCGCUAAACGAUUUUAAUUGUAAACUUAAUUUAGUUCUCAUAUAAGUGAAUAUUGUAUUCUUUUUAAUAAUAAAGUUACUUUAACCCCUAUAGAAACAAA